rnacentral:misc_RNA from 1 species
AACGCAUAUUGCGGUCGAGGCUUCUGCCAAGACCAUGUCUGCCUCAGCGUCGGGUUUAUAUCACUCCCCUCUCACCUUGUGUGAGCGGAACGAGUGGACCUGGCCGUUCCAGUUAGGCCUGCCCGUAGCCACCUCUGUGGCUAUGAGCAACCAGCCCUGGAUCGGCUGAAGAUCAGAGUUCUGACCGAGGACCCGUCAAGGGCCGCAACUGGGUGGGCAUUUUGCGAUGCUAAAGCUUUAGUUGUUGGCCUGGGAUUUCGGUUGUGACCUCAAAGCAGGAAACAAACCCCUUAUAUUCUCGACCUGAGCUCAGGCAAGAACACCCGCUGAACUUAA